UACGUAGGCAGCAAGCGUUUGUUCGGAGUUACUGGGCGUAAAGGGUGUGUAGGCGGUUGUUUUAAGUUUGGUGUGAAAUCUCCCGGCUCAACUGGGAGGGUGCGCCGAAUACUGAAUGACUAGAGUGCGGGAGAGGAAAGUGGAAUUCCUGGUGUAGCGGUGAAUGCGUAGAUAUCAGGAGGAACACCGGUGGUGUAGACGGCUUCUGGACCGUAACUGAC
rnacentral:rRNA from 1 species